rnacentral:rRNA from 1 species
UGGGGAAUAUUGCACAAUGGAGGGAACUCUGAUGCAGCAACGCCGCGUGCGGGAUGACGGCCUUCGGGUUGUAAACCGCUUUCAGCCAUGACGAAGCUUUUGUGACGGUAGUGGUAGAAGAAGCACCGGCUAACUACGUGCCAGCAGCCGCGGUGAUACGUAGGGUGCGAGCGUUGUCCGGAAUUAUUGGGCGUAAAGAGCUUGUAGGCGGUUUGUCGCGUCGAUAGUGUAAACACGCAGCUUAACUGUGUGCCUGCUGUAGAUACGGGCUGACUAGAGGAGGGUAGGGGAGAAUGGAAUUCCCGGUGGAGCGGUAGAAUGCGCAGAUAUCGGGAGGAACACCAGUGGCGAAGGCGGUUCUCUGGACCUUUCCUGACGCUGAGAAGCGAAAGCGUGGGUAGCAAACAGG